rnacentral:misc_RNA from 1 species
UACGGAGGGUGCGAGCGUUAAUCGGAAUUACUGGGCGUAAAGGGCGCGUAGGCGGUUUGGUAAGUCGGGUGUGAAAGCCCUGGGCUUAACCUAGGAAUGGCAUUCGAGACUGCCGGACUGGAGUAUGGUAGAGGGAGGCGGAAUUUCCGGUGUAGCGGUGAAAUGCGUAGAUAUCGGAAGGAACACCAGUGGCGAAGGCGGCCUCCUGGACCACUACUGACGCUGAGGCGCGAAAGCGUGGGGAGCGAACAGG